rnacentral:lncRNA from 1 species
UAGUUGACAAAAGUAUCAAAAUAAUAAACUCGUAGUUGGGAAAUUUAGUCGGUGAAAUAUGGUCCAUUUACUAAAUAAAUUUUUUUUUUUUUUGGUCAUCCAACUUACUAAAUAAUUUGUAUUCUAUAAUUAUAUCUCCAAUUAGCAUGACGCUCUCACUGAUCAUAUCAAAGGUCCAUGCAUGUAGAUCACAAUACAUAAGAAACGAACGAGUAACCAACACAAUGAUGUAUCCUUGAGGAUUUUAUAUUAUUACAACAAAAGAUUAAGCAUGUGAGGAGUAGUUGAUUAAUC